rnacentral:rRNA from 1 species
ACGGGAGGCAGCAGUGAGGAAUAUUGGUCAAUGGGCGGAAGCCUGAACCAGCCAAGUCGCGUGAAGGAUGAAGGUAUUAUGUAUUGUAAACUUCUUUAGACGCAGAGAAAUAAGGGGCUCGAGAGCUCUGAUGCUAGUAUGCGUAGAAUAAGGAUCGGCUAACUCCGUGCCAGCAGCCGCGGUAAUACGGAGGAUCCGAGCGUUAUCCGGAUUUAUUGGGUUUAAAGGGUGCGCAGGCGGGCUGCUAAGUCUCCGGUGAAAUGUCAGGGCUCAACCUUGGCACUGCCGGAGAUACUGGCGGCCUUGAGAGUGGCGGAGGUAUCCGGAAUGUGUGGUGUAGCGGUGAAAUGCAUAGAUAUCACACAGAACACCGAUUGCGAAGGCAGGAUACCAUACCAUAUCUGACGCUCAGGCACGAAAGCGUGGGGAUCGAACAGGAUUAGAUACCCUGGUA